AUUGAACGCUGGCGGAAUGCUUUACACAUGCAAGUCGAACGGCAGCACGGGGCAACCUGGUGGCGAGUGGCGAACGGGUGAGUAAUACAUCGGAACGUGCCCAAUCGUGGGGGAUAACGUAGCGAAAGUUACGCUAAUACCGCAUACGAUCUACGGAUGAAAGCGGGGGAUCGCAAGACCUCGCGCGAAUGGAGCGGCCGAUGUCAGAUUAGGUAGUUGGUGGGGUAAAGGCUCACCAAGCCAACGAUCUGUAGCUGGUCUGAGAGGACGACCAGCCACACUGGAACUGAGACACGGUCCAGACUCCUACGGGAGGCAGCAGUGGGGAAUUUUGGACAAUGGGCGCAAGCCUGAUCCAGCCAUUCCGCGUGCAGGAUGAAGGUCUUCGGAUUGUAAAGUGCUUUCAGUAGGGAAGAAAAAAAAUAGACGGUACCUACAGAAGAAGCGACGGCUAAAUAUAGUGCCAGCAGCCGCGGUAAU
rnacentral:rRNA from 1 species